CAGUCGCCGCGGUAAUACGUAGGGUGCAAGCGUUAAUCGGAAUUACUGGGCGUAAAGCGUGCGCAGGCGGUUAUAUAAGACAGAUGUGAAAUCCCCGGGCUCAACCUGGGAACUGCAUUUGUGACUGUAUAGCUAGAGUACGGCAGAGGGGGAUGGAAUUCCGCGUGUAGCAGUGAAAUGCGUAGAUAUGCGGAGGAACACCGAUGGCGAAGGCAAUCCCCUGGGCCUGUACUGACGCUCAUGCACGAAAGCGUGGGGAGCAAACAGGAUUAGAGACCCCAGUAGUCCCUGUCUCUUAUAU
rnacentral:rRNA from 1 species